UGCAUUCACCGGUUCCCGUACAAUCGCCGAAGUUAAGCAACGUCGAGCCGGAUCAGUACCUAGAUGGGUGACCGCUUGGAAAUACCAGGUGCUA